UACGUAGGGUGCAAGCGUUGUCCGGAAUUAUUGGGCGUAAAGAGCUCGUAGGCGAUUAGUCGCGUCUGCUGUGAAAACUCGAGGCUCAACCUCGAGACGUCGGCGGAAACCAUCUGGCUAGAGUCCGGAAGAGGAGAGUGGAAUUCCUGGUGUAGCGGUGAAAUGCGCAGAUAUCAGGAAGAACACCGGUGGCGAAGGCGGGUCUCUGGGCAGUAACUGACGCUGAGGAGCGAAAGCGUGGGGAGCGAACAGG
rnacentral:rRNA from 1 species